rnacentral:rRNA from 1 species
AUGGCGAUGCCGGCAGCAGCGUUGACGGUGUUGCUGUUGCAGCUCUGCUUCUCGGCCUCGGCAGUGGCUCAGGUCACCGGAGCUGCGCCGGGCUGCCCGACCAUCUGCGCGGGCGUUAGUGUGCCGUACCCAUUCGGCGUCAGGGAGGGGUGCUACUUGCCGGGCUUCAACCUCACCUGCGACCGGGCGCUCGGCCGAGAGCGGCUGCUCAUCGGCGGCGCCGGCGGCACCCUCGAGGUCGCUGAGAUCUCGCUGGCCAACUCCAUGGUGCGCGUCAUGGACACCGCUGGCGCCGUGAAGCUCACAGGCAGCGGGAACGGCACUGGCCUCGCGAGGCUCGCGUCCAGCGGCCAGUGGGGCGGGCUCGGCGCUGACGCCUUCGCCGGCCCGUUCGUGGUGUCGGGGACGCGCAACCGGUUGGUGGUCACGGGGUGCAACCAGCAGGCCACGCUGCUCGGGGAAGGCGGCAACGUCAUCGUCGGUUGCUCUGCCUUCUGCCCCGUCACCGACACGUUCCUGAGCACGAUCUCCCCGGAGGAGGUCGCCGCGUGCGCCGGUGUAGGCUGCUGCGAGACGCCCAUCCCCAUCGGCCGCCCUUCCUACAGCGUGCAGCUCGCGGGGCUGGACCUGAACCAGGAGAUGGACCUCCAGCUGCCUAUCGCGGUGCGCAUCGCCGAGACUGGCUGGUUCGAGGGCAACUCCGCCGGGCUGCUCAACAAGUCGCUCCAGGACUCCUCCAGCACGACGGCGAUCUCCGUGGUGCUGGAGUGGGCGGUGGAGUCCAAGCGGCUCCUGCAACCCCAGGAUACAGCGACGGGCUGCCCACAGGAGGCGGCGAGGAGCGUGUGCCGGAGCAGCCGCAGCACAUGCCUCAACGUCACCAACAGCUACCGCACUGGCUACGUGUGCCAUUGCGAGGAGGGCUACGAGGGCAACCCAUACCUCGCCGGCGCCGGCGGAUGCCAAGACGUCGACGAGUGCGCGAUGCCCGGCAAGUUCAUGUGCUCCGGCGUGUGCACCAACACGCCCGGAGCGUACCAGUGCCGGUGCCCGCCCGGCUCCCGUGGCAACCCCCGGAUCAAAGAUGGCUGCGUGAAAUCAUCUCUAGGUCUGGGUGUCGGCAUAGGAAUCGGCUGUGGUGCUGGCCUUCUGCUCCUGGUACUUGGUGUCUUUUUUGUGAGCCGGACGCUGAAGCAGCAGAGGGCAAAAGUACUGAAGAAGAAAUUCUUCAGGCAAAACAGGGGACAUCUGCUGCAGCAAUUGGUGUCGCAGAAGGCGGACAUCGCUGAGAGGAUGAUCAUCCCCUUGGUGGAGCUGGAGAAGGCCACCAACAACUUUGACAAAGCUCGCGAGAUCGGCGGUGGAGGGCAUGCACGGUGUACAAAGGGAUCAUGUCUGACCUGCACGUUGUGGCGAUCAAAAAGUCCAAGGUCGUCGUCCAGAGGGAGAUCGACGAGUUCAUCAACGAGGUAGCAAUCCUCUCGCAAAUCAACCAUCGACAUGUGGUGAAGCUCUUCGGGUGCUGCCUCGAGACGGAGGUGCCAUUGUUGGUGUAUGAAUUCAUCUCCAAUGGGACCCUUUAUCAUCAUCUUCAUGUGGAAGAGCCUGAAGCAUCGUUGCCAUGGGUGGAGCGCCUGAGAAUUGCCACGGAGACUGCGAGAGCUUUCGCGUACCUUCACUCAGCCGUGUCAAUCCCUAUAGUCCACAGGGAUAUCAAAUCUCAGAACAUCCUAUUAGAUGGCACUCUCUAGCAAAGGUGUCAGACUUUGGAGCUUCGAGGUGCAUUCCGAUCGAUGAAACAGGGGACGCAACUGCCAUCCAAGGGACAUUUGGGUAUCUAGACCCCAUGUACUACUACUCCGGACAACUUACCGAGAAGAGUGAUGUUUAUAGCUUUGGCGUUCUCCUCAUGGAGCUGCUAACGAGGAAAAAACCAUGCUCAUAUCGAUCAUCUGAGGAGAAAAGCCUUGUUGCAUAUUUCACUGCCUUGCUCGCGACAGGCGACCUCGCCAGUUUGUUAGAUCCUCAGGUUGCGCAGGAAGGAGGCAAGAUGGUUGAAGAGGUAGCUCUAUUGGCAGCGGCAUGCGUGAGGAUGGAAGGGGGCCAACGGCCAACCAUGAGGCAAGUGGAGAUGGCACUCGAGAACCUUCGAGUACCCCAUGAAAAUGUCGCGAUGUCUGAUAUGGAUGCACCAAGUUAUGCAAUGAUCGAAGGUGGAAGAAUGGAGGAGGUGAGCAGACAAUAUAGCCAAGAAGAAGAAUAUUUGUUGUCAUCAAGAUACCCGAGGUAG